UACGUAGGGGGCAAGCGUUGUCCGGAAUCAUUGGGCGUAAAGCGCGUGUAGGCGGCUCGAUAAGUCCGUUCUGAAAGUCCAGGGCUCAACCCCGGGAUGCGGAUGGAUACUGUCGAGCUCGAGUCCGGAAGAGGCGAGUGGAAUUCCUGGUGUAGCGGUGAAAUGCGCAGAUAUCAGGAGGAACACCAAUGGCGAAGGCAGCUCGCUGGGACGUGACUGACGCUGAGACGCGAAAGCGUGGGGAGCAAACAGG
rnacentral:rRNA from 1 species